CCUACGGGAGGCAGCAGUGGGGAAUAUUGCACAAUGGGCGCAAGCCUGAUGCAGCCAUGCCGCGUGUAUGAAGAAGGCCUUCGGGUUGUAAAGUACUUUCAGCGAGGAGGAAGGCGAUGCGGUUAAUAACCGUGUCGAUUGACGUUACUCGCAGAAGAAGCACCGGCUAACUUCGUGCCAGCAGCCGCGGUAAU
rnacentral:rRNA from 1 species